UUUUGGAAGCGCCGUCGCGGCCUCCUCCGCCUCCCAUCUGUAAACAUGAUAGGGAGGGAGGAGGGGGAACGCGGGCGUGGAUAUAGAUAUCGUAUUCUGUACGACUCUCGGCAACGGAUAUCUAGGCUCUCGCAUCGAUGAAGAACGUAGCGAAAUGCGAUACUUGGUGUGAAUUGCAGAAUCCCGUGAACCAUCGAGUCUUUGAACGCAAGUUGCGCCCGAGGCCAUCCGGUCGAGGGCACGCCUGCCUGGGCGUCACGCCUCCCGUCGCUCCCCACAGCCGUGCGGAUGCGGAGAUUGGCCCACCGUGCUUCGUGCGCGGCGGGUCGAAGUGCGGGCCGUCGUUGGGCAAGGCGCGGCGAAUGGUGGACGAAUACAUCGUUGUUUGUGCCUACUCUCCGUGUCCCUUCCCUAAACAAUGCGACGUGUCGUCGUCGGACCCCUCACCAAGGACCCUGUCUGCUUUCGAAUAAAAAGAAGGAAUCGUCCUCGGAACG
rnacentral:misc_RNA from 1 species